UACGAAGGGGGCUAGCGUUGCUCGGAAUUACUGGGCGUAAAGGACGCGUAGGCGGACAGUUUAGUCAGAGGUGAAAGCCCAGGGCUCAACCUUGGAAUUGCCUUUGAUACUGGCUGUCUUGAGUACGGGAGAGGUGUGUGGAACUCCGAGUGUAGAGGUGAAAUUCGUAGAUAUUCGGAAGAACACCAGUGGCGAAGGCGACACACUGGCCCGUUACUGACGCUGAGGCUCGAAAGCGUGGGGAGCAAACAGG
rnacentral:rRNA from 1 species